rnacentral:lncRNA from 1 species
GGGGGGGGGGGGGGGGGGGGGGGGGGGGGGGGGGGGGGGGGGGGGGGGGGGGGGGGGGGGGGGGGGGGGGGGGGGGGGGCGCUCUUCCGAUCUCCAGGAGCAGGAAAUGCGGCAGCUGAACUCGCACCAAGCGCGAGGUGUUCCGGCAGAUGGAACAGCGGCGCGAGCAGCAGGCGCUGAAGGCCGAGAAGAAAUUCCAGGAGGGACAAAAAUUCCUGGAGCAGCUGGAGCAGAUGAAGAGGGAGGAUCGGCAGGCCUGGCAGCAGCAGCAGCAGCGCAAGCGGCAGAUCCUGGCCGAGAUGCGGGCGGUGGACGCGGAGAACCAGCGGCUGCGACAGCGCGACAGGGACCGCGACAGGCGCGCCGAGCUGCAGGCGCUGGAGGAGCAGCGCCUCAAGGGGGUGGGGACAGCGCUGCCAGGGGGCCUGUCACCUCCCCUGGGCUGUGUCACCUCCCCGGGGUUGUCACCUCCACCGGGGUUCUGUCACCCCUAGGACUGUCACCUCCUCGGGGUUGUCACCUCCCCAGGGCUCUGUCCCCAUGUCCCCAUGUCCCCAUGUCCCUGUCCCCGGGGGGGGGGGGGGGGGGGGGGGGGGGGGGGGGGGGGGGGGCACUUCCUCUGUCACCUGUGUCACCUCUGUGUCACCUGUGUCACCUCUGUGUCACUUCUGUCACCGCCGUCCUUGUCCCCUGUCCCCAUGUCCCCCGUCCCCUGUCCCUGUCUCCUGUCCCUGCCCCCUGUCCCUUGUCCCCUGUCUCUGUCCCCUGUCCCCACGUCCCUGCCCCCUGUCCCCAUGUCCCCCUGUCCCUGUCCCCUGUCCCUGUCCCCUGUCCCCACAUCCCUGUUGCUGUCCCCAUGUCCUUGUCCCCUGUCCCCAUGUCCCCCGUCCCCUGUCCCUGUCCCCUGUCUCUGUCCCCUGUCCCCACGUCCCUGUCCCCAUGUCCCUGUCCCCAUGUCCCUGCCCCCUGUCCCCAUGUCCCCCUGUCCCUGCCCCCUGUCCCCUGUCCCUGUCCCUGUCCCUGUCCCCACGUGGCUGUCGCUGUCCCCAGGAGCGGGAGGCGGCGCUGGAGGCGGAGCGGGCGCAGCUGCGCCGGGAGCGGGCUGUCACCUCCCCCGGGGCUCUGUCACCUCCCCUGGGGCUCUGUCCCCCCUGCAGGGGAUGUCCUGGAGCGGUGGCAGCAGGGACAAGGCCACAGCUGGGCGCUUCCAGAGCUGUCCCCAGGGCGGCCUGGCGCUGUCCCCAGGGUUCUCUGUCAGUGUCCCCAAUGUCCCCUGUCCCUGUCAGUGUCCCCAGGGUCCCCAAUGUCCCCUGUCACUGUCAGUGUCCCCAAUGUCCCCAAUGUCCCCAGUGUCCCCUGUCCCUGUCAGUGUCCCCAGUGUCCCCAAUGUCCCCAAUGUCCCCUGUCACUGUAAGUGUUCCCGACGUCCCCAGUGUCCCCAGUGUCCCCUGUCACUGUAAGUGUUCCCAAUGUCCCCAGGGUCCUCAGUGUCCCCAGGGUGCCCAGGGUCCCCAAUGUCCCCUGUCACUGUAUGUGUCCCCAAUGUCCCCAGUGUCCCCAGGGUCCCCAAUGUCCCCAUUGUCCCCAGUGUCCCCAGUGUCCCCUGUCCCUGUCAGUGUCCCCAAUGUCCCCAGUGUCCCCUGUCACUGUAAGUAUUCCUAAUGUCCCCAGUGUCCCCAAUGUCGCCAGUGUCCCCUGUCACUGUCACUGUCCCCACUAUCCCCAGUGUUCCCAGUGUCCCCAGUGUCCCCAGUGUCCCCAGUGUCCCCUGUCAGUGUCCCCUGUCAGUGUCCCCAAUGUCCCGCAGGACGCGCUGCAAGCCAGGCGGCUGCAGGAGGCGGGGGGGGGGGGGGGGGGGGGGGGGGGGGGGGGGGGGGGGGGGGGGGGGGGGGGGGGGGGGGGGGGGGGGGGGG